rnacentral:rRNA from 1 species
AUUGAACGCUGGCGGCAUGCCUUACACAUGCAAGUCGAACGGCAGCACGGGUGCUUGCACCUGGUGGCGAGUGGCGAACGGGUGAGUAAUACAUCGGAACAUGUCCUGUAGUGGGGGAUAGCCCGGCGAAAGCCGGAUUAAUACCGCAUACGAUCUACGGAUGAAAGCGGGGGACCUUCGGGCCUCGCGCUAUAGGGUUGGCCGAUGGCUGAUUAGCUAGUUGGUGGGGUAAAGGCCUACCAAGGCGACGAUCAGUAGCUGGUCUGAGAGGACGACCAGCCACACUGGGACUGAGACACGGCCCAGACUCCUACGGGAGGCAGCAGUCGGGAAUUUUGGACAAAGGGCGAAAGCCUGAUCCAGCAAUGCCGCGUGUGUGAAGAAGGCCUUCGGGUUGUAAAGCACUUUUGUCCGGAAAGAAAUCCUUGGCCCUAAUACGGUCGGGGGAUGACGGUACCGGAAGAAUAAGCACCGGCUAACUACGUG